UGCCCGAAAGGGUGACGAUGCGACGCCGCGUGAGCGAAGAAGGCCCUGGGGUUGUAAAGCUCUGUCAGGGGUUAAGAAAUGUAGAUAGGUUAAUACCCUGUUUAUUUGACAAAGGCCCCAAAGGAAGCCACGGCUAACUCUGUGCCAGCAGCCGCGGUAAUACAGAGGUGGCAAGCGUUGUUCGGUAUUAUUGGGCGUAAAGAGCACGUAGGUGGUUUUGUAAGUCAGAUGUGAAAGCCUUCUGUUCAAAGGAAGAACGGCAUCUGAAACUGCAAAUCUUGAGUGUAGGAGGGGAGAGUGGAACUACUGGUGGAGCGGUGAAAUGCGUAGAUAUCAGAAGGAACGUCGGCGGCGAAAGCGACUCUCUGGCCUAUUACUGACACUGAGUGUGCGAAAGUUAGGGGAGCAAACGGGAUUAGAUACCCCGGUAGUCCUAACCGUAAACGAUGGGCACUAAGUAGAGGGGU
rnacentral:rRNA from 1 species